CCUGCCCGCGCAUGUCGGCCGCGCUGUGGUCCCCUGGCACCCCGCGCCGAGGCUCUUAGUUAGACCAGGUGGGGUUUGCGCAUGCCCCUCCCGGAGCGCCCCAGCUGUCCUGUACGCGCGCCUCGGGCAGCGGCGGCUUCGGGACCUGAUGGAAGUGUUUCAUUAGGCGGCAGGGCCUGUCAGGUCUUUUGGCUCUGUUGGCAGAAAACACUUUGCGGGCUGUGAGCGAACUUUGUGCCACUCCGAGACAGCUCGAGUGAGACCGUGCAAAGCUUCGUCCCUGGCUGCGAGCGGCAGCGCGCCUUUCCCCGGCGUCACCGCUUUAUAGAUAACCCUUUCUGUGAACUGGCGGGCCACGAGCUGUCUCUCUUCAGUCUGUCCUCGACACGACCAGCACGCAUCCAAUUAACAGCGCCUCACGAAAAGCAAAAAGUAAAUAACUGCUCCCAGUGCAACGCGCAAAGUGCCCACGAUGUGCUAAACAAGGAAACAAACACACAAAGCCUCCGCAGAAACCAAAACUGAAGCCAAGAAAAAUCAGAGAGACGCCGCCUGCAGCCAAGACGUGCUGGAAACUGCGGGCGAAGCGUUCGCGCCUCACCCAGUGCAACUGAAGUUAACGACAUUGCCCCCCGCUCUUAACUGCGCCACCGCGCAGCUGCCCGUAUGGCAGGGCCAUCUAUCCUGCGCGGCAACCGUGGCAACGCGUCCCCCGCGCCGGCACCUCCCUCUCUCAGCUGCCUCCCGGGACCCCCGCCGGACCCGCCUGCGUGUGUAAACUCGCCCAGGGGGAGGGCUGUGCCGCAGGGAAGACUGCUCAGGCACCCGCGAAGCCUGGCUUGGCCAUGCGGCGCGUCCUGCGCUGCGACACAGCGGCAGGGCAUAGCCGGGAGCUAGGUGGGUUUCAGUCGGAACCCGGCACUUUUCACUCCCCAAAAUGGCAAAGUUCACGCCGGUUAUUUUCUUCCCCUUCAAGUCGAGGACCCUGCCGAGAUUACCAGCACUUCGUGCUGCUACUUGAGCCGCAAAGACCGAGCUCUGACACACGCAGGAGUGGGUCACGUAUGCCACGUCUGUUCUUGAAGCCAGCAGUAUGUACCCCAGAGAGCACAGCACUAAGUACAAUGAAUUCCCUGACACUUCCUCAACGGUUAUUCCCUGACAGUGCUGUCAAGCACCAAGCCAUACAUCUGCACCAGAUAAAUUCAUCCACAGUGAGAUACGAAUUGUCAAAGGACUUCAUUUGAUUUAGGUACACACUUCACAUUAAAGUGUAGCUAUAAUCAAUAAGAUACACUCCUGAAUCUUAUUAAUCCUUUAAUGUUUAUCUAAAAAACCAGUCAGGCAUGGUAAGCCAAGAGCAGCUAUGAUAAUCAGCAAGGGAUGCAAGAUUAAUUCAACUGCAAAAUGUCAGUUGUGAAA